rnacentral:rRNA from 1 species
GGGCCCGCACAAGCGGUGGAGCAUGUGGUUUAAUUCGAUGAUACGCGAGGAACCUUACCAGGGCUUAAAUGUAACGGGACAGAUCUAGAGAUAGAUCCUUCUUCGGACUCAUUACAAGGUGCUGCAUGGUUGUCGUCAGCUCGUGCCGUGAGGUGUCAGGUUAAGUCCUAUAACGAGCGCAACCCCCCAUCGUUAGUUGCCAACGAGUAAUGUCGGGAACUCUAACGAAACUGCCGGUGCAAACCGUGAGGAAGGUGGGAUGACGUCAAAUCAUCACGGCCCUUACGUCCUGGGCUACACACGUGCUACAAUGGUCGGUACAGAGAGCAGCCACUACGCGAGUAGGAGCAAAUCUAUAAAACCUAUCUC